rnacentral:tRNA from 1 species
GGGGCAUUAGCGCAGUUGGUAGCGCGUUUGAAUGGCAUUCAAAAGGUCAGGGGUUCGAAUCCCCUAUGCUCCACCA